rnacentral:rRNA from 1 species
GACAGAGGAUGCAAGCGUUAUCCGGAAUGAUUGGGCGUAAAGCGUCUGUAGGUGGCUUUUUAAGUCCGCCGUCAAAUCCCAGGGCUCAACCCUGGACAGGCGGUGGAAACUACCAAGCUGGAGUACGGUAGGGGCAGAGGGAAUUCCUGGUGUAGCGGUGAAAUGCGCAGAUAUCAGGAGGAACACCGGUGGCGAAGGCGGGUCUCUGGGCAGCAACUGACGCUGAGGAGCGAAAGCGUGGGGAGCGAACAGG